rnacentral:lncRNA from 1 species
CUGGAGUUAGACUCACUAUAAUUUGAAUUCUGGCUCCACCCUGUUGUGGUCUCAAAGCUCAGACAACUCGCUUGACCUCGUGUUGUCUUUGUCCCUUGUGGAAGAUGAUAAAACCUGUCCCUCCUAUCUCCCACGGACAGCAAGGAAUGAGUAAUAACUUGGAUUAGAAUGUCCCUCGCAAUCUAUAAAGUGUGCUACCACUGUGGCCGUGACUUAUAGUGUAUUGCUACCCUUGUCAUGAGCACAUUUGUAGAGUUUUCAGUAAGCAAUCCAAUUCUGACCUGAGCAUCUGAGCUUUAAAAAUAAAGGGGUGGGGGGAGACCUUGUCUUAUUCCCCGUGUGUCUCAAAGACAAAUGCUGGCCUUGCUAAAUAUUAAGAUUGACGUUGUAGUCCCUAAAGUAUUUGGGUAUCCACGGGCUAAAUUUUUUUAUUAUUUUUAAAAUUUGUUUUAAUUAGCUCUACAUGACAGUAGAAUGCAUUUAUAUACUUUAUAUACAUAUAUAUCAUGUAUAUGAUAUAUCUAUGAUAUGUCGUACAUAAAUAGGGUAUGAUUUCUCAUUUUUCUGAUGGUACAUGUUGUAGAAUCACAUGGGUCAUGCAGUCAUAUAUGUACAUAAGGUAAUAAUGUCUAUUUCAUCCUACUAUUCUUCCUAUCCCCAUGUCCCCUCUCCUCCCCUCCCUUUGCUCCCCUCUAAUGUUACUCUAUUCUUCCCUAAUGUCCCCCACCCCUUCUUGUGCCAUUGGCUGAAUUUAUGCCCUAAGACGAUAAUGUCUUAAGCAUAAAUUGACCAAAACAAACUUCAUUCAGAAGGUCACUGGUGCUGUGGAUGCAGCAGGGUAGGGAGUUUGGGAAUCUUAGGGGUCAGUGGUUGCUUUUUCUGUGAGGUGGUCAGGAAGGACCUGGCAAAAGGGUGACAUCUGAGCAGAGACCUGAAGGAAGGGAGGGGUGUGAAUGUGGAAGGAAAGAACAUCCCAGGCAAGGGCAUCAGCAAGCGCAUCAGCAGGGCAUCAGCAGGGGCAUCAGCAGGGGCAUCAGCAGGGGCAUCAGCAGGGGCAUCAGCAAGCGCAUCAGCAGGGCAUUAGCAAGCGCAUCAGCAGGGCAUCAGCAGGGGCAUCAGCAGGGGCAUCAGCAGGGAUUCGUGUGCUUGGGGUGGUCAGGUCAUGUACAGCCUUGGAGGCCAC